rnacentral:lncRNA from 1 species
GAAGGAUUUUCAGACUAGUGAGACCUAAGUACACUUUUUCCCCCUGAAGCUUUUGGUUUGACUUUGUUUGGUUUUGCCCAGGAAGGACACAGUGGAGGGAACAAAUAAUGAGCGUGGUCUGGAUAACAGUUUGAAGAGAGAGACCAUUGAUUACAAUACAGAUAGAACUGCACUUCAUCAACUUAGCGGAAAGCAGCUGACAGUGGACUUCACACCUAACUCUAAUAAGGAAUUGCUGUGAAAAGUGACCCAGCGAGGAUAACUGCCCUGCGCGGUUCGAUGAGGUCACGGCAGGCAGGAGGGUAAGGACUCCAAGAACCGCAGCAGCAGCAUCGGGGGCCCAGGACCCGGACCCGGACCGGGAUGCGCCCCGGAAGCCAGCGGCUCCUGGCGGUAGCGAGGAGUGGUUAAGUGCAGCUGAGUUGUUCCUUGGGAGAUAUAUUCCACAAC